rnacentral:rRNA from 1 species
GGCAGCACGGGGGCAACCUUGGUGGCGAGUGGCGAACGGGUGAGUAACAUAUCGGAACGUGCCCUGGAGUGGGGGAUAACUAGUCGAAAGACUAGCUAAUACCGCAUACGAUCUACGGAUGAAAGUGGGGGAUCGCAAGACCUCAUGCUCGUGGAGCGGCCGAUAUCUGAUUAGCUAGUUGGUGGGGUAAAGGCCUACCAAGGCAUCGAUCAGUAGCUGGUCUGAGAGGACGACCAGCCACACUGGGACUGAGACACGGCCCAGACUCCUACGGGAGGCAGCAGUGGGGAAUUUUGGACAAUGGGGGCAACCCUGAUCCAGCAAUGCCGCGUGAGUGAAGAAGGCCUUCGGGUUGUAAAGCUCUUUUGUCAGGGAAGAAACGGUCUGGGCUAAUAUCCUGGGCUAAUGACGGUACCUGAAGAAUAAGCACCGGCUAACUACGUGCCAGCAGCCGCGGUAAUA